CCUACGGGCGGCAGCAGUGGGGAAUAUUGGACAAUGGGCGAAAGCCUGAUCCAGCCAUGCCGCGUGUGUGAAGAAGGCCUUCGGGUUGUAAAGCACUUUCAGUGGGGAAGAAAGCCUUGGGGCUAAUACCCUCGAGGAAGGACAUCACCCACAGAAGAAGCACCGGCUAACUCCGUGCCAGCAGCCGCGGUAAUACGGAGGGUGCGAGCGUUAAUCGGAAUUACUGGGCGUAAAGCGCGCGUAGGCGGUCUGAUAAGCCGGUUGUGAAAGCCCCGGGCUCAACCUGGGAACGGCAUCCGGAACUGUCAGGCUAGAGUGCAGGAGAGGAAGGUAGAAGUCCCGGUGUAGCGGUGAAAUGCGUAGAGAUCGGGAGGAAUACCAGUGGCGAAGGCGGCCUUCUGGACUGACACUGACGCUGAGGUGCGAAAGCGUGGGUAGCAAACAGGAUUAGAUACCCGAGUAGUC
rnacentral:rRNA from 1 species